ACGGAAGGCAGCAGUGGGGAAUAUUGUACAAUGGGGGAAACCCUGAUGCAGCGACGCCGCGUGAGUGAUGAAGUAUUUCGGUAUGUAAAGCUCUUUAAGCAGGGAAGACAGUGACGGUACCUGCAGAAUAAGCACCGGCUAAAUACGUGCCAGCAGCCGCGGUAAUACGUAUGGUGCAAGCGUUAUCCGGAUUUACUGGGUGUAAAGGGAGCGUAGGUGGCCUGGCAAGCCAGAGGUGAAAACCCGGGGCUCAACCCCGCGGAUUCCUUUGGAACUGUUGGGCUGGAGUGCAGGAGGGGUAAGCGGAAUUCCCAGUGUAGCGGUGAAAUGCGUAGAUAUUAGGAGGAACACCAGUGGCGAAGGCGGCUUACUGGACUGUAACCGACGUUGAGGCUCGAAAGCGUGGGGAGCAAACAGGAUUAGAUACCCUGGUA
rnacentral:rRNA from 1 species